AAAUCCAACUUUUAAACGCUUUGUGAACAGGCCCAGAGGCAAAGUCCUGGGCGCAAACCCACGAGCCGAGCUGCGAGGCUGAGAGGAAGUGCUAGUCCAGCCCAACCCCGCACUGGAUUUGGUGUGGAAACCGUCAGAGGUAAAAGGGAUCGCUCAGAUGGGGGGCCCGCGGUGAGGGCAGGAGGCAAAACCCCACCGCCCGGCGCUCCCAGCCAGCGCGCAGCGGGAGGCGGCUGUGCCGCGGGCCCGUCCUUCGCGUCCGAGCUGCCGCGCACGCCCCGCGCGGAGCGCGGCACCGGGAGCCUCCGGUGGGGCUGGGUCCCGUCUCCCGCCCCAUCCGGCGCUUUGUCCCAGCCCCGGUGGCCGGCGGCCCCGCUGCGGGCCCCCGGGCCGCGGUGACAGCCCCCGUCCCCAUAGGGCUGCGAGCCCGGGAGUCCCUAUAGGCUGGCGACCGGUCGCCCGCCGGACCUCACCCAGGCGGGACGCGGCAGGAGGACGCUCGCCCUGCCGGAGGGGCCGCCGCCGCCGCCCGAAGCGCACGCAGGCCAAGCUCAGGCGCCAAAAGCCUUGGACUUCGAAACACACGACUUCCAACAUCCUAAGCUUACCCAAAAAUUCUCGACGAAAUACGCCAUGACCAUCGUGCCGCCGCCGCGCCGGGUUCCGCGUCCGCGCCCGCCCGCCGCUGUGUAAACACGGCCCGGCCCCCACAGCACCCCCGCCUUUCGCCGCCGCCGCCUUCUUCCCAGAGACCGGCCCGCACCUUCCAGGGCGCAUGCGCCACCUAGCGGCUGCCGCAGCUGGGCGAGCACUUAGACGCCACGGCCACGGUGUGCGCAUGCGCCCUGUCCCCAUUCUCGGGUGUUGGUAGAUCUCUCUGCAUCCCGGGCGCGGCUGGGUUGAGUGUUCUCUUAGGAAUGGUGGAGAACUGGGUCCUUGAGGAGUCACCGGGGAGACUGCUCGCACUGUUUGUGGUGCGACGGGCACUGGCCCAGGGACAGAGGGAAGAGAAGGGCCAGCCAGCGGCAGUGGAGUCGGCAGGCUGGCUGCCCACUCGCUUUCUCUCCUCACAAGACUCGCUUCCCCGGCCUUCGAGGAUCUCGAACGGACUAUAGUCUGGACUCGCUGGGCUGGAGGAAACUUGGCCGCUGGCCACCCGGAGGAGACUGAGAAGCCUUUGGUCAACAGGGCGCCUUUCCUUGAACCAAAACAAAACUUUCCGAAGCCGGAAAGGAAACGCCCAGUGUCGCCUGAGAGCCCUGGAGCUGCGCGAGACCCAGGCACUGAGUGCGGCCUCGGCCUCUGACCUCUAACACGCCGGGAACAAACCAGCUGGGGCGGCCCGCAGGCCUGCGGGAGCGGAAUGUGACCCGAAACCGACGGACUUCCUGACCCAUAGUCCAUAGUUCUCUUCAGCAACUUGAACAUUUUGGAAAAAGAAACAAGUCUUAACAUGCCACGACCUAAUGGAAAAACUAAAUCCCCUUCCUACACCUUGCUUUCCAAAAGUUAAAAAAAAAUAGUUAAACGCUAUUAGAGGUCUCAAGUUCACUGUCACCAGAUCAGCUAGGUCCAGAAUCUUCAGUUCUUGAAGCCAAGCCCUACAAAUAGAUUUAUUGUAGCAUAUCACACCUCUUCAGGUGACUUAAAACAAUGAGAAUUCAUGAGAAAUUAUCUUCAUCCUCAAGUAAAAAUCAUGAGGUGCCUUUCACAUGGAUGAAAUUGCCCUGCUGUCUCAUGUUUCGUCAACAGGAAGAAAAAUACGUCUUCAAGUUUGUUUUGUUUGUUUGAGAUGGAAUCUCGCUAUGUCGCCCAGGCUGGAGGUGCAGUGGCGCGAUCUCGGCUCACUGCAACCUCCGCCUCCUGGAUUCAAGCGAUUCUCCUGCCUCAGCCUCCCGAGUAGCUGGGACUACAGACGCCCGCCACCAUGCCCGGCUAAUUUUUUUGUAUUUUUAGUAGAGACGGGGUUUCACUGUGUUAGCCAGGAUGGUCUGGAUCUCCUGACCUCAUGAUCCGCCUGCCUUGGUCUUCCAAAGUGCUGGGAUUACAGGCAUGAGCCACCGCACUCGGCUGUCUUCAUGUUUUAUCUUAUCUUCCCUGACGCCUAUAUUUCUGAUUUGUGUUCUUUUAAUUCAUGACAAUUUGUUUAGUCUCAACUUUUAUUUGCUCUAUGGUGAGAAUGCUUUAUCUACUAUUUGUUUUGCGGGGGCGGGGGCUGGGUAUUCCCAUCUUUUCUUUUUUUUACAGUUCCUAUGCUAGUUUUUAUUUUAUUUUAGGUCAACUUUAAAUAAGGUGAGUUCUUAUCUAUUUACUGGAGUUUUGUAUGAGAGAGGCCAAGAUGGUAUUCAUGGUCAGCAGAAACUCUCCUCAUGAGACAGGGUUAUGUGCUACGUGUGUGAAUAAACUUUAUGUUUUGCUUCUCUGCAGCCUCCUUGAGAUCAGCACCAAUGGGAUGUCACAAUGCAGACUCUCUCCCCCACUCUUUCCUCAACUACAGACUACUUCCUGAAAAAUAUGAUUAGUUUAUGAUAUUUCUUGCUCAAAUCCGCUUCCUCAGCUUUUUCUCAGUACCAAACUGUCCAGAAAAGUUCCCACCACCGGAACCUCAUUCCAUUGUUGCAAACAAAGAGAUUAUUGAUUUUUCAUCUUAGGCUAUGCACUUCACGUUAGAGUCAUGGAUUCUGCUGGCUCUGUACAUUUCUGUUUGAUCUUCACUGCUUUUGGCAGACUUUUUUUCUGUUUUAGUUUCAAAUAUCUUCUAGUUGCAUCAGAUAUAGAGUUGACAUUACCGUUUCUUAUUCUUCUUAUUACUUUUGGGUGGCUAGGCAGUAAAGACCUAUGUUCUUUGCCAUAUUAAUACCUAGAUAAGAUCAGAAGAUGAUUUUGCAUUAAUUCUGCCUGGCAUUUAGUAGACUCUUCCAAUCCAAGUCUGGGAAAUGUUCUUUUUUUAUUUCUUUGAUAAUUGUCUCCCUUUUAUUCUUACAGUCCUAUAGCUGUAUAAUUUUAGUUAUAUUUAUCUUCUGUAUCUCUUAAUAUUGCUGUACUUUUUCUUUUUCUUUUUUUCUUUGAGACAGAGUCUUGCUCUGUUGCCCAGGCUGGAGUGCAGUGGCACAAUCUCGGCUCACUGCCCAGCUCUGCCUCCCGGGUUCACACCAUUCUUCCCCCUCAGCCUCUGAGUAUCUGGGACUGCAGACGCCCGCCACCAUGCCCAGAUAAUUUUUUUAUAUUUUUAGUAGAGACGGGGUUUCACCAUGUUAGCCAGGAUGGUCUCGAUCUCCUGACCUCAUGAUCCGCCCGUCUCUGCCUCCCAAAGUGCUGGGAUUACAGGCAUGAGCCACCACGCCUGGCCUAUUGCUGUACUUUUUCUUUUGUUCUUUUUUUUUCUUUUUUGCAUAAAUUUUGGAAAAGUCUCUCAGCUCAAUUUUCCAACUCAUUAAUUGUAUAUUCAGGUUAGGGUAAGGGUUAUUGUAUAUUUAGCCCAAUUAUUGGAUUUAGUCAUUUUUUUUUUUCUUUGAGAAGGAUUCUCACUCCAUCACCCAGACUGGAGUGCAGUGGCGCAAUAUCGGCUCACUGCAAUCUCUGCCUCCUGGGUUCAAGCAAUUCUCUUGCCUCAGCCUCCUGAGUAGCUGGGAUUACAGGCACCUGCCACCACGCCUAAGUUUUGUAUUUUUAGUAGAGACGGGGUUUCACCAUGUUGGCCAGGCUAGUCUUGAACUCCUGACCUCAGAUGAUCCACCCGCCUCAGCCUCCAAAAGUGCUGGGAUUACAGGCAUGAGCCACCAUGCCUGGCCGCAAUAAUAUUUUAAAAUUUCCAUGAAUUCUGGUUGUGUUUCAUAGCAGCUGUCUCUUGUUUCAAUGUGAUUUACUUUAAAGCAACUCUGAGGAUCUGAACUAUGUUUAAUUUCAAGUUUUUAUCUGUUUCUAUUGACUAUUCUUUUUAAGUGGGCUAGUUCUAUUUGUUAAAUUUGGUGCUCUCUUUAGUGCUCUUGGUUUCUCCAAAUGUUUGUUGGUUCUUUUGUUGUUGUUGUUCCAUUUGUAGGAACAGAAUUUCAGUCUAGACUGAAAUUCAUAGCUGGACGCAUUUCCUCACUUCAAAUGAGAACUCAUGUUUACCUGGCAGUGAAUGCAAGUUUUGAUUACAAGAAUCUGCCUCAUGGGAUUUGGUAGGGAUAGGCAGACUCUGUAGGUAACGUCUCUUCUUAGAAUAGUUUCCUGACCCUCCAGGGUAUUGUCCUUUUCCUCUGACCUUAGCUUACUCUGGAACAGUAAUAUGUUGGUAAAUGUUUGACAGCCAGCUCUGGGUGGAGUGGGGGAAGUCCUAGUUUGCAGCAUUUCCUGAUUUCCAUGCAAUGUAAAAUCUCCCACCCUAGCCAAUUUUCAAGCUAGCAACAUAACAGUCACUGAAUGGGGAGUUGAGAAGAGAUGUGCAAACUAGAUUCUUAAGAGACUGACUUCAUUUAGCAUACCAUUGCUGUGGGGCUGCUGUACUAUGUCAGAAAACUAUACCCAUGACUCUCAUCUAAGCCCAAACAAUGGAGCCAGCUGCUCCAAGAGCAACUCCAGGAAUUGAUGGGGACUUAGGGGUAUGGCUCCGUUAUUUCUUCAGUUAACAAAGUACUUUGUUCCUUUGAAUGGUUUUAGGUUCUUAUGCCCUGCUAGAUUUCUCUACUGAUUCCCACGUUUCUUAUUUUUUUCAAAAAUUCCUUUCUAUAUUGUUUGCUGGAAGCACCUUUUCUGGUUUUCCUGUGCUGCUUUGAAUUUAUUUUUCUAUUUCUUUGUGAUUUCAGUGGAAUUUGGAGAAGGAAUGGCAAAGCGGAAGUCCUUCUCCUAUUUGAUGUCUUAACUUGUUUUUACUGGAAGUCACUUCCUCUUUUGUCUCAGAGGCUGAUUCGCCUCCCAUAACCAGUGAUUUUCCUGUAAGCUCAUUAUCCUGGAUGAUGGCUUGACUAACCAAGGCUACUGGCUGCUGAGGGGUUUCUGAGGAAACUUUGGUAGCCUGAUUGAGGCCAUCUGCCUCUCCACCUGCACUGUAGUUGUGGAGUACACCACUCUGUUCAUGGAGGCCAUGCACACUGGCCAGAGAAGAGCAGCCCAUGUGCAAAAGGAUCCAAGUAAGCAUUUUCCAUUCUCACAGGUCAAAUAAGAGGACUUCCCACAUUUAUUCAGAAGGUAGUUGAAAGUGGUCAGCCCCAGAUCUCCCCUAUGUGACUCUUUGGUUGAUGCUACUUGUACCUCAACACUUGGAAGGCCCGUUCUGGACAGGAGCAACUUUCACUUUACUCUGGAAACGUGGGCAGGUGGGCACAGAAUAGAGUGAAUCUGAGGCAGAAACUCCUUCAGGCUAACUUUGUGACGGACACUGUUCUAAGUCUUCAGGUGAGUUAACUCAUUUAGUCUUCAAGACAAUCCUCUGAAGUAGGUAUUUUUAUCAUCCUCAGUUUACAGACACAGAAACUGAGACACAGAAAGGCCAUUCAGCCACUCAGUGGUUGAGGCAGGACUGACACUCAAGAAGUCUUGUGACAGUUGUAAUGAGUUAGUCGUGAUGGUGGCUACCAGGUAGGUGUGUGGAUAGAUAUGUAGUGGCCUCUCCUCCGAUGGAAAACUCCCAAAGCACUGAAACAGUCUGGUAGCUGUAGUUGCCGAGGUGUGUAGGGGCAUCGGUGAGCUCAGCAGACUGUGUUCCAAGUCACAUUAAAGAGGCAGAUUUAUUGCAAGCCUAUCUCCUAGAGACAGAAUGUAUUUUCCAAAAAUGGGCAACACACUGUGUCCCAUCUCACAUGCUGUUCUUAUAAUAUAACUUUGAUACUACAUUCUUAUUUAGAAAUGGAAGCCCAUGUUUCCUCCCUUUGAUGCUGGGCAGAAUUGUGACUACAAUGAAAAUAAUGCUAUAUGGCUUUUGAGGCUAGGUCCUAAAAGGUAAUGCAAUAUACGUACAGUUCUCUUGGAAUAUUUAAUAUUGAAAUCCGACCACCACGCUGUAAAGAAGACUGCAGCCCAUGGAGAAGUCCACACAGCCAGAAACUGAGGCCCAAGGCUCACAUCCCCAGCUGAGCUCCUGGCCUACAGCCAGCCCCAAGGUGCCGUCAUGUGAAUGAGACAUUUUGAAAGUGGAUCCCCCAGGCCCAGGCAAGCCAUUCCUGACAAUAAAAUGUGGAACAGAGAUGUGAUUCCUUUUUAAGACCUCCCCAAAUAACAGAUUCCUAAGCAAAAAUAAAGGACUGUUGUUGUU
rnacentral:lncRNA from 1 species